GUGGUGUUUGGAUUGUCUCUGCCGGCUGGCUCCGUGCUCGUCCACCGAACGGUCGGCAGGCAAUCCCGGUCGGUUGCUGUGAGGUGGGAUGGUGCCUUCGAGGCUGGUUCUUGUGCUGCCUACCCCUUCGAAGGGAAUCAGGCCACUCGCGGUUAGCCUCCACCCGGCGCCUUCUAAUGGGCGCGGGAGGACAACGAGGCGCCCCCCGUGUUCCACCGAGCCUUUCAUCGGACGCGUGGCCCACGGGGAAGUGCAAGGCUCUUGGACCCAGCGUACGCCGUGCCGCGGACGGGGACUCACGUCCCAGUCCCGGGAGGAGCUUGGAUAUAAUGUGUGACGGCCGCUCUCGCCCCUUCACCGCCCCGGCGGCGGGGGGCGUCGCGCGACGUCGUGGAGGAAUGCUACCUGGUUGAUCCUGCCAGUAGUCAUAUGCUUGUCUC
rnacentral:misc_RNA from 1 species